GUCUAUGGCCAUACAAUCCUUAACACACCCAAUGUCAUCUGAUCUUGGAAGCUAAGCAGGGUUGGGCCUGGUUAGUACUUGAAUGGGAGACAUUUACC
rnacentral:rRNA from 1 species